ACCCACCUCCCGCCCGCCGUCCGCGGCGCCGGGAACGCAGUUCCUGGGGUGAAUCGGGCGCCCCCGCAAGGGCGUUCCGUAGGAGACCUUCCUACUCCGAACCCGUCAGCUAACCCGGUAGGCGACAGGGAAGGAAAGG
rnacentral:sRNA from 2 species